rnacentral:rRNA from 1 species
AGUUGGUGGAGUGAUUUGUCUGGUUGAUUCCGUUAACGAACGAGACCUCGACCUGCUAAAUAGAGCACUCCUAUGGGUCUCCAUAGGCUGAUCUUCUUAGAGGGACAACGUGCGCAAGCACGUGGAAGUUCGAGGCAAUAACAGGU